UUUAAAAUGUGGUAUGUAUACACCAUGGAAUGCUAUGCGGCCAUAAAAGAAGUUACCAUGUCCUUUGCAGCAAUACAGAUGGAGCGGGAGGACAUUAUCUUAAGUGAGCUAAUGCAGGAACAGAAAACCAAAUACUGCAUGUUCUCACUUGCAAGUGGGAGCUAAACAUUCAGUACACAUGGACACAAAGAAAGGAACAAUAGACACUGGGGUCUACUUGAGGGUUGAGGGUGGGAGUAGGGUGAGAAUGGAAAAACUACCCAUCAGGUACUAUGCUUAUUACCUGGGUGAGGAAAUAAUCUGUACACCAAAGCCCCAUGACAGACAAUUUACCUGUAUGAUAAACCUGUGCAUGUAACCAUGAAACUAAAUUGAAUAUUAAAAAUAAGUAAUUGCUGUGAUUCCGAAAUAUUUGCAAAUGCAAACAACAGAUGCACAACAUCUAUUUCUCUAUUAAUCUCUUUUGAAAUAAAUUUUGUUGUGUAUUUUCAAGGUACACAAAAUUAUAUUAUGGGAUACAUAUACAAAGUAAAAAAAAGGUUACUAAAGUGAAGCAAAUUAACAUACUCAUCAUCUGAAUACUUGCCCAUUGUUUUAUUUGCUUUUGUAGGCAAAAGCAGUUAAAUUCUACUCAUUUAGCACGAAUCACAAAUACAUGUCUAUUAAUUUUAUUAUAAAAAUACAAAGCCAAGAGGGACUAGGCAGAGCCGUGGAACCGCUGCCAGGUCGCUGUCGGUCCACGUAGCGCUGCCAGUGCGCUCAGCGUCCGCCGCCGCCAUGGGAGUCAGGUGGAAACCAUCUCCCCAGGAGAUGGGCGCACCUUCCCGAAGCGUGGCCAGACCUGGGUGUUGCACUACACUGGGAUGCUUGAAGAUGGAAAGAAAUUUGAUUACUCCCGGGAUAGAAACAAGCCCUUUAAGUUUAUGCUAGGCAAGCAGGAGGUGAUCCGAGGCUGGGAAGAAGGGGUUGCCCAGAUGAGUGUGGGUCAGAGGGCCAAACUGACUAUAUCUCCAGAUUAUACCUAUAGUGCCACUGGGCACCGAGGCAUCAUCCCACCACAUGCCACUCUCGUCUUCGAUGCGGAGCUUCUAAAACUGGAAUGGCAGGAAUGGCCUCCUCCCUUAGCUCCCUGUUCUUGGAUCUGCCGUAGAGGGAUCUGGUGCCUCCAGACGUGUGCACAUGAAUCAACAUGGAGCUUCUCCUGAUGUUCCACUCCACUCUGUAUAGACAUCUGCCCUAACUGAAUGUGUUCUGUCACUCAGCUUUGCUUCUGACACCUCCAUUUCCUCUUCCCCUUUCUCCUCAUAUGUGUGUUUACCUAAACCAUAUGCCAUAAACCUCAAGUUAUUCAUUUUAUUUUGUUUUCAUUUUGGGAUGAAGAUUCAGUUUCAGUCUUUGGAUAUAGGUUUCCAGUUAAGUACAUGAUCAGGUAUUAACAGCACAAGUGAUAGGUUAACGUUAGAAUAGGAAUUGGUGUUGGGGGCCGGGGGUUGCAAGAAUAUUUUAUUUUAAUUUUUUAGAUGAAAUUUUUACCUAUUAUAUAUGAAACAUUCUUGCUGCUGCGCUGCAAAGCCAUAGCAGAUUUGAGGCGCUGUUGAGGAUUGAAUUAUUCUCCAAGUUGAGAGAUGUCCUUGGGUUAAAUUACAAGCCCUACCUAAAACUGAGGUGGGGAUGGGGACAGCCUUUGCCUCCACCAUUCCCACCCCACCCUCCCCUUAAACCCUCUGCCUUUGAAAGCAGAUCAUGUUCACUGCAAUGCUGGACAAUAUAGGCAUCUGUCCCUGGGCCAGCAGGGACCUCUGAAGGCUUCCUCGUGGCCUGGCUUAUCUUUUUACUUUUUAUUUUUUUUCAUCCUGUGGUUUUUCUAAUGGACUUUCAGGAAUUUUGUAAUCUUAUAACUUUCCAAGCUCCACCACUUCCUAAAUCUUAAGAACUUUAAUUGACAGUUUCAAUUGAAGGUGCUGUUUAUAGACUUAACACCCAGUGAAAGCCCAGCCAUCAUGACAAAUCCUUGAAUGUUCUCUUAAGAAAAUGAUGCUGGUUAUCACAGCUUCAGCUCUCCUGUUUUUUGAGCUUGGCUCCCUCUGCUGAUCUCAGAGUUUCCUGGCUUUUCCUCCCUCAGCGCCUUCUCACCCCUUUGCUGUCCUGUGUAGUGAUUUGGUGAGAGAAAUCAUUGCUGCUCCUUCCCCCUCUGCACUAUAUAUGAGUCUCAAGUUCUAUUAUUGCAAUAAAAGUGCUUUAUGCCGGCUUAUCUAAAAAUAUGUGUGUGUGUGUGUGUGUGUGUGUGUGUGUGUGUGUGUAGCCAAAUAAGAAAAACUACUCAUUAAAAUAAUUUAAUAUUAUAAUAUGACAUAUUUCCCCAAGUCAAACGAUUAAAUGUAAAGCACCAAGGCUAGAUAAAUCAAUCUUAAAGAGCAUUUUUAUAAUUUUUAUAAAUUAAAUUUUAAACUUCAUUCAAUUUCUUGUAGUAUUCAACUACGUCAACAAAUUCACUUGAAAUUGGAGAGUAAUUGAAACACGAUCUAUCCAAAAAAAGUCAUGUAGUAAAGUCUUGAGAGGACCAUUUCCCCAAGAAUUCCCAUAGUCAUUUAUUGCUCUUUGAGAGGACUGUGUCACCAACACAUUAAUUAUUGGUACAAACAGACAGCAGUUGUCAAUGGGAGAAAUCGUUCUGAGAGAAAGCUGUGUAAAGGAAUUCUUUCACCAGUGUGGCCCCCUGAAGGAUAAAUCACUUUUCUAUUACAAAAGAUUCAACUUUAAACCAAUAAAUACUGUUGUGUUCUGCUCAACAGCUCAUAGUAUUACACCACAUCACACAUUUUACAGCUCAUAAAUGUACACUGAAUACAGCUCAAGUUUAGUGAUCAUUUAACUCUAUCUCAUUGAUAUUUUUCUAAGAAAUGGACAAUGAACAGCAGGAAAAAAAAUCACAACUUUUAUAAUAAAAUAUGGUGUGUUUUCAAAAGAUUAUUAAAUAUAGUAAGAUAUAGUUUGUUUUCAAAAUAUCAUGAUUUAUUGUACUAUAAAAACAAGAACAAGGUAGGUCAACUUUGAUAAGUGAGUAUACUCUCCUCCUCAGAAUUUCACUCUUUUUCUGUAGAAAAGCUCUAAAGUUCUCUUUUGUGUGAUAAUUAGAUGAAAUGAAUAUUCCUUUAAAAAUAAAUUAAAGGAGUUUGGCAGGCUAUUCAUAAUUUAAAGAAAUGGUAAAUUUUCUCAAGCAUGAAUUGUUAUUUGAGACUAUUCCAUAAAACCAUUAGGUGUUAUCAUUUUUCACAUUCUUCCACAUUUAACACGAAAAAGCGAUGCAAAUAUGUGGGCACGAUCGGUCAAGUUAAAAAUGUAACGGUGCACCAAAAAUGAAGAGCCUGAAAUUACAGUAACUGCACUAAAGAUUUCCAUCUCUAACAGAAGCAUGACCUUGAACAAUUCAUGAUUUUUCAGUUACCUCAUCUAUAAAAUAAAAGUUUUAUAUAUUCUGUGAUUUCCAAGAUUAGUCCCAGCCUAAACAUUCCAUAAUUUUAAAAAUUGUAAGAGACACAAUAGUUUGCUGGUGAUCCGUGGUCCACGGCAAUUAAGAAUAAGCAGUUUUCUUGUUAGAGCAUUUUCUUAUACAUUACAAAAUUAAACUUCAGACAAAAAUUUGACAUCAUAGAAUAUUCUUAUUUCGGUAUUCAUCAUUCUGAAUCAAACACAGAUCCAGUAAUAAUCAGCAUAAAACCACUCAUAUAGGAACUUGAAGAGCCAUCAAGACUUUAAAUGCCUUACAUACCUUGUCAGUAUAAUUUGAUCAGAGACUAUAGAACUACAUUUUUAUUUAGAGGCAGGUACUGAGUCUGUCAUUGACUUUCCCAUAUCCAGAGAUACAAAUAUGUUAUUCCAAGAAACAUCAUCAAGUUAUACCGUAUUUAAAUGUAUGAUUUAAGAAAAGAACCUUCUAUUCAAGACUAUAACUGGUUAA